GGAUCAUUAUUGAAAUAAAACUCAGGCAGGGGGGAGUGUGGUUGUAGCUGGCCCCCUAAUAAGGGCAUGUGCACACUGUCUCUUUCUCUUGUUUGUUUUUUCAUUCUUUCCACUUGUGCACUGCUUGUAGGCAGCCUGGCAUUGUUCGGGUUGUCUAUGAUUUUAUUUUAACAUACAUGAAUCAUUGUUGUACAGAAUGUGAUAAAAAAAAUAAUAAUACAACUUUCAACAACGGAUCUCUUGGCUCUCGCAUCGAUGAAGAACGCAGCGAAAUGCGAUAAGUAAUGUGAAUUGCAGAAUUCAGUGAAUCAUCGAAUCUUUGAACGCAUCUUGCGCUCCUUGGUAUUCCGAGGAGCAUGCCUGUUUGAGUGUCAUUAAAUUCUGUCAAAACAUGCACUUGAGUGUGUUUUGGAUUGUGGGAGUGUCUGCUGGCUUUAUAUGAGUCAGCUCUCCUGAAAGACAUUAGCUUUGGAGGGAUGUGCCAAGUCACUUCUGCCUUUCCAUUGGUGUGAUAGAUGAAUAAACUUAUCUACGUCAGGAAAGCAGGUUGCAGGUGAUGCACUGUGAUCUCUCUGCUCUCUAAUUGACAUUUGUCUGAUAACUUGACCUCAAAUCAGGUAGGACUACCCGCUGAACUUAAGCAUAUCAAUAAGCGGAGGAAAAGAAACUAACAAGGAUUCCCCUAGUAACUGCGAGUGAAGAGGGAAGAGCUCAAAUUUGAAAUCUGGCAGUGUUUUGCUGUCCGAGUUGUAAUCUAGAGAAGUGCUGCCCGUGCUGGACCAUGUACAAGUCUCCUGGAAUGGAGCGUCACAGAGGGUGAGAAUCCCGUCUUUGACAUGGACUGCCAGUGCAUUUGUGGUGUGCUCUCAAAGAGUCGAGUUGUUUGGGAAUGCAGCUCUAAAUGGGUGGUAAACUCCAUCUAAAGCUAAAUAUUGGCGAGAGACCGAUAGCGAACAAGUACCGUGAGGGAAAGAUGAAAAGAACUUUGGAAAGAGAGUUAAACAGUAUGUGAAAUUGUUGAAAGGGAAACGCUUAAAGUCAGUCGUAUCGGCCAGGGAUCAACUCAGUAUUAUCUGCUGGGUGUACUUCCUGAUCUGAUGGGCCAACAUCAGUUUUGACUGCUGGAAAAGGAUAGAGGGAAUGUGGCACCUUUGGGUGUGUUAUAGCUCUCUGUCGGAUGCAGUGGUUGGGACUGAGGAAAGCAGCAUGCCGCAAGGCCGGGUCAUUCGACCACGU
rnacentral:rRNA from 1 species